AUGGAUGAAGAUUUCUAUGUUGAUUCCAUGGUGAAACAUUUAUCUGAGAGUGAUGUGUAUUUAAGAAUUGAUUUGUUGGCUGUUAAGAGGAUUAUGAACUCUAUUAACAGUGAGUUAUUUGAAUUGUUAGUUACAGGCUGUGCACUACUCUUAACUGGUUGUGUUAUUCCCACAAUGUACUGGGCUGUAGUACUAAUCUUGAUUGCAAACUUCUGGGCAUGUUGCCAGUCCCAGCCCAGUCUGUCUCAGCCUCCCUCAGAGUCAGUGUCUCUGGGACAAACAGUCAAACUCUCCUGCACAAUGAGCAGUGGUUACACAGUGACAAGCUAUAGCCAGUCCUGGUACCAACAGCGACCUGGUAAUGCACCUCGCUACCUUUUGUACUACUACAGCUCUGCAAACAUGGGCUCCGGGGUCCCUGAUCGGUUCACUGGAUCCAAGGACAAUUCUCAGAAUGUUUGGUAUUUAACAAUUUCUGGUGUCCAGACAGAUGAUGAGGCCGAUUAUUACUGUGCCAUCUGGUACAACAAUGCACACAGUGAUAUCAUUACAUGGGGAACUGAAACAUAA